AUGGUCCCAGGAGGCGCACCGCAUCCACGCUCAGUGGGGUUCCUACUUUCUCCUUUCGAAGAAGUUCCACCUGUCCAGGUUCAGCGGUGGUGCCAGGGGUUGCACCACAUCCAUGUCCAGCGGUGGUCCCAGGGAGCGCAUCGCAUCCAUGUCCAGCGGUGGUUCCAGAGGCCGCACCACAUCCUCGUUCAGCAGAGAUUCCACCUUCGUCUUUCCAAGAGACUCCGCCUGUCCAGGUCCAGCGGUAAUUCCCGGAGCCGCACCACAUCCAUGUCCAGCGGGGGUUCCACCUCCAUCUGUCCGGUAGGCUUUGUCUGUCCUGUUCCAGCGGUGGUCCCCGAGUUCGCACCGCGUCCUGCUCCAGUGGUGGUUCCGGAGGUCGCAUCGCAUCCUGCUCCAGCGGUGGUCCUGGAGGUCGUGCCGCAUCCUGCCCCAGCGGUGGUCCUGGAGGUCGCGCCGCAUCCUGCCCCAGCUGUGGUCCCGGAGGUUGCACCGCAUCCUCUUCCUGCGGUAGUCCCGGAGGUCAUACCGCAUCCUGGUCCCAUGGUGGUCCCAGAGGUCGCAACGCAUCCUCUUCCAGCGGUGGUCCCAGGGUCCGCACCACAUCCAUGUCCAGCGGGGGUUCCACCUCCAUCUGUCCGGGAGGCUUCAUCUGUCCUGUUUCAGCGGUGGUCCCCGAGUUCGCACCGCGUCCUGCUCCAAUGGUGGUUCCGGAGGUCGCAUCGCAUCCUGCUCCAGCAGUUGUCCCGGAGGUCGCGCCGCAUCCUGCCCCAGCGGUGGUCCUGGAGGUCGCACCGCAUCCUCUUCCUGCGGUGGUCCUGGAGGUCGUACCGCAUCCUGAUCCCAUGGUGGUCCCGGAGGUUGCAACGCAUCCUGCUCCAGCAUUGGUCCCGAGGGUCACAUCGCAUCCUGCACCAGCGGUGGUCCCGGAGGUCGCACCGUGUCCUGUCCCAGUGGUGGUCCCGGAGGUUGCAUCGCAUCCUGCUAUGCGGUGGUCCAGGAAGUCGCACAGUGUCCUGCUCCAUCGUCAUGACUCCCAAUCUUUCAGCCUUCAUGCAGCACACCUGGUCCCCUCAUCAAGCUCCAGCUAAGCCCUGUUUCCCUAGCAACCUCAGUCUGCACCUCAUCAACUCCAUUCAUCUCACCUGUUCUUGUCAUCAGCCUCAUUUACCACAUCUGUUCCUCCUGCUUUAUAAGAACCAUCCAGCUAUCCAGUCACUGCCAGAUUAUUGA
rnacentral:lncRNA from 1 species